GUCUAUGGCCAUACCACCCUGAACAUGCCCGAUCUCGUUUGAUCUCGGAAGCUAAGCAGGGUCGGGCCUGGUUAGUACUUGGAUUGGAGACCUCCCNACUGGGUGCUGUAGGCU
rnacentral:rRNA from 1 species